GAUGAACGCUGGCGGCGUGCCUAAUACAUGCAAGUAGAACGCUGAAGGAAGGAGCUUGCUCUUUCCGGAUGAGUUGCGAACGGGUGAGUAACGCGUAGGUAACCUGCCUGGUAGCGGGGGAUAACUAUUGGAAACGAUAGCUAAUACCGCAUAACAGUAGAUGUUGCAUGAUAUCUACUUAAAAGGUGCAAUUGCACCACUACCAGAUGGACCUGCGUUGUAUUAGCUAGUUGGUGAGGUAACGGCUCACCAAGGCGACGAUACAUAGCCGACCUGAGAGGGUGAUCGGCCACCCUGGGACUGAGACACGGCCCAGACUCCUACGGGAGGCAGCAGUAGGGAAUCUUCGGCAAUGGACGGGAGUCUGACCGAGCAACGCCGCGUGAGUGAAGAAGGUUUUCGGAUCGUAAAGCUCUGUUGUAAGAGAAGAACGAGUGUGAGAGUGGAAAGUUCACACUGUGACGGUAUCUUACCAGAAAGGGACGGCUAACUACGUG
rnacentral:rRNA from 1 species